CGACUCGGGCCAAAAACCUGGCUCGAAGAGGAUUCAGCUUCUGCCCGCUUUCUCUGGGCUCCUCAGACACCAAACUGAACCCCUUGACCCUUACCCUUUACCCUAACGACUCCUUUCCUAGCUAAAGGAAUAAAUCCUCCGACGUGUUUACAUCCCAGGCUAUCCCUGGGACUGAAGGGCUGAGAAGCCUGCGGUCCGCACUGGAACUCUGAUGACUUUAGAUUAACUCUGAGGAGGAGAGCAGCUUGCGAUGGAUCUCAAGCUGCUGGCCUUCUUGCUUUCAGUCUUUGGGUGUUUCUUAGCAGUUCCAGCCCUGAGUCCCUGGUGGGGACUUCAAAGGCAUGGCCUCAACCUAGAGGGUAUUAGGGGAGGUGCCCAGCAGUUCCUGGAGGGUUCAGGGCAUUAUUGUCAAUGGAAUGUGAAAUGAAUAGCAGGAAUUUGAAAAAAAUCUUUAUGUGCAGAUAUAUUGAUAUUAUUUAUUACAUAUUUAUCUAUACUAAGGAAGCCAGAGGGUGAUUUGGACUAAAAGGAAGCCCAGCAGGAUUAAUGUCUUCCUCCUCCUUCUCCCCGCCCCCCCCAACCCCUGCCUUUGUCCUAGGCCCAGAGGUUCCAUCCCUAAGCUAUGGGGUGUCUUCUCUCCUUUGGAAGGACUUUAGAGAUGGCAGUUGAGACUUGCCUGGAAACUGAGGCCAGGAGCGGCUAUGAGCGGCUAGCUGAAGGUCACAUGGCUAGUGAGUUCCUGAACCAGGAUUCAACCUCAGUAAUCCUGUUUCCACAUACGGAGCUCCUUUUAAUAUGGUAUGGGGCCUCCAUUUCAUGUCAAAAAUAUUCCCUUUCAGGCAGAUUUGUUUUUCUAGUUGUUUCUCCCAUCAAUAACAGCUGGACUCAGAGAGGCAGCUUGUUGUAAUGGAAAGAGGAUUGUUUGGAGAGUUCUAAGAAUCCCAUCCCAGUUCUGUCUUGUCGAUAGCUAGCAGUGGGACCUCAGGCAAGCCCUAGCAUUUAAGCAGUGCCAGCCUUGUGCCAGGUAAUGUGUUUUGGGUCUUCCCCAUGCUCUAAAAUAUAGAAAUCAAUGCACCUAUCAUACCUCCCUCACAGGCACACACCUGAGCAUCAAAUGAAAUAAUGGAUGGGAAAGAAUUUUGUACACUGUCAACUACUAGGCUCAUACAAGAGUUUUUAUUAUUAGCGUUGGCACCACCAGCCCCCUUAGAUGUGGCACAGAGAUUUAGGGGUGACACUGGCCUGAGCCCUGUCUUUGUGAACUGACCAGACAAAACAGGGCAUUGGGAGGUGGUGUCCCAGGGUAAUUUAGGCCCCAAACCAAACCUCUGGCUAAAUUCAUAGGAUAAUUGCUUCAAUUCUCUGCUUUGUUCUGCAAUCACAGGCCUUGUCUCUCUGGUAAAACAGCCCAGUCCUAUGACAACAACAACAAUAAAAUCCCAGUGGUUUAGAUCUUUAGACUGUCA
rnacentral:lncRNA from 1 species